GGGCCUGUAGCUCAGUUGGGAGAGCACCUGAUUUGCAUUCAGGGGGUCGCAGGUUCAACUCCUGUCAGGUCCACCA
rnacentral:tRNA from 1 species